rnacentral:rRNA from 1 species
CAGCCGCCACGGUAAUACGUAGGGGGCGAGCGUUGUCCGAAGUUACUGGGCGUAAAGCGCGCGUAGGCGGCUUCUUAAGUCUGAGGUGAAAGGUUCAACGCUUAACGUGAACAGUGCCUUGGAUACUGGGGAGCUUGAGUAUGGGAGAGGGCAGUGGAAUGGCUGGUGUAGCGGUGAAAUGCGUAGAUAUCAGUCGGAACACCCAUGGCGAAGGCAGCUGCCUGGCCUAAUACUGACGCUGAGGAGCGGAAGCGUGGGGAGCGAACAGGAUUAGAUACCCGCGUAGUCCCUGUCUCUUAUA